GGUCUUGGAUGUUUUCUGGAGGAACUGGGGAGCGUGGGCGCGUUAAGUUAUAGGGAAAACCCCAAUUCCUGAGACGUGGAUGAGGGCGCAUUCUAGUCUGUGAUUCCGAAACCAGCCAUGAUUCGCUGUGAGCUUCCCACCCCUGUGCUGGAAGGCGCCAAGUUCUGAACACCUGUGGCCUCCUCGUGGCCUCCAGGUCCUCUGCGGGAAACACCCAGCGUCCUUUGUCUGACCAACUCCUACACGUCAAUCACCGGCAAUUCGGACGCCACCUCUUCCAGGAAAUUUCCCUGAAUCUGCAGAAAGUUACUCCUUCCCUGAGGAUGGAUGUCAGUUGCUGGAUUCGUGAACCUUCCCUUUGCCUUCAGUCCCACCAGUCUAUGGUCCAAACAUAAGAUCCUUUAAACUCCCGUAUGAGCCCUCCAGUGGGAGCUUCCGCAUAAGGUCCCACUGCUUGUUGAUGGCCCAUGAAGGACACUGGUGUUAAGUCCUGCUGCGGUGAGGCAUCAAGGCUCUUGUGAAGAUGCUCUGAUGUUUACUGGAGCCCUGGAACCACACCCAGCAUCAAAACAAAGCAGCGCCAGCGUCUGCCCCCUAUUCCACAACUGUCCUCUCCAUAGCGUGGAGUAGAGGCUGGUCACCUUUUGGUUGAUGACUUCUGCCUCUUCCUCCAGCAAGGCUACCAGCCGCCUUAGCAGGGCUUCCUUCUCCGUGGGUGGGGGUCCCUGGAACUCUGGGGGUGGGGGGCAGAAGAGAAUUGGACUGGGAAGGGCCCUGGCUUUGCUCCUACCAUCACCCCUCACCAGGGCUCCUCUGCUGCUUACCUGAACUGGGCGGGGACUUCAGUUGCUCCUGCACCAAUUGUUCCAGCCGCUGGGCAACCAGGGCAUAGAACUCGGAAGAGGCUGGGCCUGAGCAGAAAGAAGCAGCGACGCUUUCUGUUUACAGAACACGGUAUUUAUGGCGUCUCUCCUAACCAUCUUGCCACACAGCAACAAUUUCCACUUCACAAAAGGAUACACCUCGGCCAUGAGACGUUGGUAAAUAAAAGAUAUUAAA
ensembl:processed_transcript Gm15545 predicted gene 15545